rnacentral:ncRNA from 1 species
CUUAUCCAGAGUGGCGGAGGGACAGGCCCGAUGAUGCCCGGCAACCGGUCGGCGGCAGCGCCGACGAGGUGCCAAUUCCUGCGACGCGGGGUUCCCCCCAAGUCGAAAGAUGAG